CCUACGGGUGGCAGCAGUGAGGAAUAUUGGUCAAUGGACGAAAGUCUGAACCAGCCAAGUCGCGUGAAGGAAGACUGCCCUAUGGGUUGUAAACUUCUUUUAUAUGGGAGUAAAAUGUUCCACGUGUGGGAUUUUGUAUGUACCAUAUGAAUAAGGAUCGGCUAACUCCGUGCCAGCAGCCGCGGUAAUACGGAGGAUCCGAGCGUUAUCCGGAUUUAUUGGGUUUAAAGGGAGCGUAGGUGGAGUGUUAAGUAAGUGGUGAAAGCUUGCGGCUCAACCGUAAAAUUGCAGUUGAAACUGGUCGUCUUGAGUGCAGUAGAGGUAGGCGGAAUGCGUGGUGUAGCGGUGAAAUGCUUAGAUAUCACGCAGAACUCCGAUUGCGAAGGCAGCUCACUGGACUACAACUGACGCUGAGGCUCGAAAGUGUGGGUAUCAAACAGGAUUAGAUACCCUUGUAGUC
rnacentral:rRNA from 1 species